rnacentral:rRNA from 1 species
UACGGAGGGAUCUAGCGUUAUUCGGAAUAACUGGGCGUAAAGCGAGCGUAGGCGGAUUUGUAAGUUGGAGGUGAAAUCCCAGGGCUUAACCCUGGAACUGCCUUCAAAACUACAUUUCUUGAGUUUGGUAGAGGAGAGUGGAAUUCCUAGUGUAGAGGUGAAAUUCGUAGAUAUUAGGAGGAACACCAGUGGCGAAGGCGACUCUCUGGGCCAAUACUGACGCUGAGGUUCGAAAGCGUGGGUAGCGAACAGG